rnacentral:rRNA from 1 species
UACGUAGGGUGCAAGCGUUGUCCGGAAUUACUGGGCGUAAAGCGUGCGCAGGCGGUUUUGUAAGCCAGAUGUGAAAGCCCCGGGCUUAACCUGGGAAUGGCAUUUGGGACUGCAAGGCUUGAGUGCGGCAGAGGAGACUGGAAUUCCUGGUGUAGCAGUGAAAUGCGUAGAUAUCAGGAGGAAUACCGAUGGCGAAGGCAGGUCUCUGGGCUGACACUGACGCUCAUGCACGAAAGCGUGGGGAGCAAACAGG